rnacentral:rRNA from 1 species
UACGUAGGGGGCAAGCGUUGUCCGGAAUCAUUGGGCGUAAAGCGCGCGUAGGCGGCCCGGUAAGUCCGUUGUGAAAGUCAAAGGCUCAACCUUUGAACGCCGAUGGAUACUGCCGGGCUAGAGUCCGGAAGAGGCGAGUGGAAUUCCUGGUGUAGCGGUGGAAUGCGCAGAUAUCAGGAGGAACACCGGUGGCGAAGGCGGAUCUCUGGGCCGAUACUGACGCUGAGGAGCGAAAGCGUGGGGAGCGAACAGG